UGUUCGAGCGUCAUUACAACCCUCAAGCUCUGCUUGGUAUUAGGCUUCUCCUACUAGGUGGGCCAUAAAACUAGUGGCGAUGCCCUUUGGCUUCAAGCAUAGUAAUACUCCUUGCUUUAGAAGUUCAAAUGUUGUCUGCCAGUAACCCCAAUUUUUAAAAGGUUGACCUCGGAUCAGGUAGGGAUACCCGCUGAACUUAA
rnacentral:misc_RNA from 1 species